UGUGGAGAAAAUGGGUCUUCCUCAGAAGUA
rnacentral:piRNA from 1 species